GGGGSGGKGCCWAAWAMAUGCAGUCGAGCGAAUGGAUUAAGAGCUUGCUCUUAUGAAGUUAGCGGCGGMCKUGGUGAGUAACACGUGGGUAACCUGCCCAUAAGACUGGGAUWACUCCGGGAAACCGGGGCUAAUACCGGAUAACAUUUUGAACCGCAUGGUUCGAAAUUGAAAGGCGGCUUCSGCUGUCACUUAUGGAUGGACCCGCGUCGCAUUAGCUAGUUGGKGAGGUAACGGCUCACCAAGGCAACGAUGCGUAGCCGACCUGAGAGGGUGAUCGGCCACACUGGGACUGAGACACGGCCCAGACUCCUACGGGAGGCAGCAGUAGGGAAUCUUCCGCAAUGGACGAAAGUCUGACGGAGCAACGCCGCGUGAGUGAUGAAGGCUUUCGGGUCGUAAAACUCUGUUGUUAGGGAAGAACAAGUGCUAGUUGAAUAAGCUGGCACCUUGACGGUACCUAACCAGAAAGCCACGGSUAACUACGUGCCAGCAGCCGCGGUAAUACGUAGGYGGCAAGCGUUAUCCGGAAUUAUUGGGCGYAAAGCGCGCGCAGGUGGUUUCUUAAGUYUGAUGUGAAAGCCCACGGCUCAACCGUGGAGGGYCAUUGGAAACUGGGAGACUUGAGKGCAGAASAGGAAAGUGGAAUUCCAUGYGUASCGGUGAAAUGCGUAGAGAUAUGGAGGAACACCAGUGGCGAAGGYGACUUUCUGGUCUGUAACUGACACUGAGGCGCGAAAGCSYGGGGAGCAAACAGGAUUAGAUACCCCUGGUAAA
rnacentral:rRNA from 1 species